rnacentral:misc_RNA from 1 species
AGGUUCAAAUCUACUCCUUAAAUUGGGGAAUGUAACCAUGCUUCACCGUGUUUUUGUUACUUUAGUAGUUGGAGCAGGUCUGUUAUGUACCAAAAAGUGUAAGACUUCUAAUAUAUGAAAAAGAUUAAAUGAAGUCUCUCUUACGCAGCUGCUGAGAGAAGUUUAUAAGAAGAAUCACUUUCUUCUCUGUUUUUUUUCUAGCAAUUUUCAGUUCAGAAAUUGCAACAAAUGGUAUCAGAGCUCCUUAUGAUCU